CAGAUUGAACGCUGGCGGAAUGCGUUUACACAUGCAAGUCGAACGGUAGAGGGGGCAACCCUUGAGAGUGGCGAACGGUGAGUAAUAUAUCGGAACGUGCCCAGUCGUGGGGGAUAACGUAGCGAAAGUUACGCUAAUACCGCAUACGAUCUAAGGAUGAAAGCGGGGGAUCGCAAGACCUCGCGCGAUUGGAGCGGCCGAUAUCAGAUUAGGUAGUUGGUGAGGUAAAGGCUCACCAAGCCAACGAUCUGUAGCUGGUCUGAGAGGACGACCAGCCACACUGGAACUGAGACACGGUCCAGACUCCUACGGGAGGCAGCAGUGGGGAAUUUUGGACAAUGGGCGCAAGCCUGAUCCAGCAAUGCCGCGUGCAGGAUGAAGGCCUUCGGGUUGUAAACUGCUUUUGUACGGAACGAAACGGUGAGCUCUAAUACAGUUUGCUAAUGACGGUACCGUAAGAAUAAGCACCGGCUAACUACGUG
rnacentral:rRNA from 1 species